CUUUUACGUCGGCCUUCGCGAGCGUCUGGGCGGGUGGUAGGAACAAUGGCGCUGUCUUCAGUGGCACAGUGGAGCAGCUCUGAAGAUGCAAAGAUACACGAAAAAACUUCCAGAACAUCUGGGAGAAUAUUUAAUGGAAAAUCGCUUGGUUAAAACCUGACACUUUUAACAGGUAUGUGUUGUUUUAGUACUUUAUGAUUGAGCAUAGCAUUUAAUCCACACCUAGACUAAAUCAAAUUUUUUUUGUCAGUGAACAGCGUUCUGAGUGUGGACGAGUAGCCAGUGAAGAUAAUGAAUGUCGAAUGUGACUGACUAGCAGCUUCAUUUUGAAUGAGGGUCGCUGUCUGCCCAUUGAUAGAGGCCAGAUUGUCUUGGAAGUUCCAAAGUUGCAACGAUUUCUGGCUAGUGCCACGAGGUUUACUUGACUGUUGUGUGAAAAGCUGAUAAGAAAACCAUCCAGAAAAAAGCUCUUCGUUUUACAAACAUGAAAAUAAAACAUGUAAUUUUGGAUUAUGUUCCUUUUUGUUAUUACUUUUAAAUAGGUCCUGAAAUAACAUGGGGAGCAUUAAAUGGAAAAUCCACUA
rnacentral:lncRNA from 1 species